AAUUUACAAUCAAAAAAUUGUUUCUUGCAAAAAAAUGUUCAUUCAACUUUUUAGUUAUUAGACACAUUUUAGAAUUUUGUCUCCUGCGUUUGCUAGCGCUUUGGGAUUUUUUUGAUAUAAGUGCGAACAACCGCACAUUCGGAUUUCAUCAGAGUCUGGAACGUUCUGCAGGGGAUUUGAUAAUAAGAUCCAGAUUUUAUUAAAAACCAAGUAUCAUCAUGGAAGCCUACAUUUGAAUGCCGCUCUUAAGUCAAAUACGUACAUGAUUGAAAUAUAAAAUUCUGUUAGAAAAAGCUAUUUUUCAUAAAAAUGUUUGGAAAUURUUWAUGUUAAUGUAUACUAAAAGAAAGAUAGUUUAAUUAUCUUUUAAUCCAUAAUGAAUUAAAAAAAAUUCAUUUAUUUUGUAAAUGCUUCAAGGCUAUAUUUAUUGUUUUAUGCAAGUCAAAAGUACAUGUCGAAAUACAAAAUGUUGUUAGCAUGGGCUUUGUUUUAUAAGCAUGUUUAAAAAUAUACAAUGUUAACGCAUAUGAAAAUGGAGAUAGUUCAAUUAUCUUUCGUUCUGAUUA